UACAGAGGUCCCAAGCGUUGUUCGGAUUCACUGGGCGUAAAGGGCGCGUAGGCGGCCUGUUAAGUCGAACGUGAAAUCCCCAGGCUCAACCUGGGAACUGCGUCCGAUACUGGCAGGCUUGAAUCCGGGAGAGGGAUGCGGAAUUCCAGGUGUAGCGGUGAAAUGCGUAGAUAUCUGGAGGAACACCGGUGGCGAAGGCGGCAUCCUGGACCGGUAUUGACGCUGAGGCGCGAAAGCCAGGGGAGCAAAACGGG
rnacentral:rRNA from 1 species